rnacentral:rRNA from 1 species
CCUACGGGUGGCUGCAGUAAGGAAUAUUGGUCAAUGGACGAAAGUCUGAACCAGCCAUCCCGCGUGCAGGAUGAAAGCCCUAUGGGUUGUAAACUGCUUUUAGCAGAGAAGAAAAGUUUUCAUUAAUGAGAGUCUGACGGUAUCUGCAGAAUAAGCACCGGCUAACUCCGUGCCAGCAGCCGCGGUAAUACGGAGGGUGCGAGCGUUAUCCGGAUUUACUGGGUUGUAGGGGUGGGUUGAAGGAGGAUGAGAAAUCUUGUCGCUUAACGAUAAAAUUGCCAAGGAUACUGGUACUCUUGAAUUGGGUUGAGGUUAGCGGAAUGUGACAUGUAGCGGUGAAAUGCAUAGAUAUGUCAUGGAACACCAAUUGCGAAGGCAGCUAACUGGGCCUUGAUUGACGCUGAGGCACGAAAGCGUGGGUAGCGAACAGGAUUAGAUACCCUUGUAGUC